CCUACGGGUGGCAGCAGUGGGGAAUAUUGCACAAUGGGCGAAAGCCUGAUGCAGCAACGCCGCGUGAAGGAAGAAGGGUUUCGGCUCGUAAACUUCUAUCAACAGGGACGAAAGAAAUGACGGUACUUGAAUAAGAAGCCCCGGCUAACAACGUGCCAGCACCCGCGGCAAUACGUAGGGGGCAAGCGUUAUCCGGAUUUACUGGGUUUAAAGGGUGAGUAGGCGGCAUGGUAAGCCAGAUGUGAAAGCCUUGGGCUCAACCCGAGGAGUGCAUUUGGAACUAUCAAGCUAGAGUACGGGAGAGGAAAGCGGAAUUCGUGGUGUAGCGGUGAAAUGCGUAGAUAUUAGGAAGAACACCAGUGGCGAAGGCGGCUUUCUGGACUGAAACUGACGCUGAUGCACGAAAGCGUGGGGAGCGAACAGGAUUAGAUACCCGAGUAGUC
rnacentral:rRNA from 1 species